CCCUGGUUAGCUGAGUUGGUAGAGCGCUCCACUGGAAAUGGAGAGGUCCCGGGUUCGAUACCCGGACCAGGCG
rnacentral:tRNA from 1 species